rnacentral:rRNA from 1 species
UACGUAGGCAGCAAGCGUUGUUCGGAGUUACUGGGCGUAAAGGGUGCGUAGGCGGCCCUGUAAGUAUGGUGUGAAAUCUCCCGGCUUAACUGGGAGGGUGCGCUAUAGACUGCGGGGCUCGAGUGUGGGAGAGGAAAGUGGAAUUCCUGGUGUAGCGGUGAAAUGCGUAGAUAUCAGGAGGAACACCGGUGGUGUAGACGGCUUUCUGGACCGUAACUGACGCUGAGACACGAAAGCGUGGGUAGCAAACGGG